rnacentral:rRNA from 1 species
AGAGUUUGAUCCUGGCUCAGGACGAACGCUGGCGGCGUGCCUAAUACAUGCAAGUCGAGCGGACUUGGCGGAGCUUGCUCCGUUCAAGUUAGCGGCGGACGGGUGAGUAACACGUGGGUAACCUGCCUGUAAGACUGGGAUAACUCCGGGAAACCGGGGCUAAUACCGGAUAAUAUUAAGAACCGCAUGGUUCUUGAUUGAAAGGCGGCUUCGGCUGUCACUUACAGAUGGACCCGCGGCGCAUUAGCUAGUUGGUGAGGUAACGGCUCACCAAGGCGACGAUGCGUAGCCGACCUGAGAGGGUGAUCGGCCACACUGGGACUGAGACACGGCCCAGACUCCUACGGGAGGCAGCAGUAGGGAAUCUUCCGCAAUGGACGAAAGUCUGACGGAGCAACGCCGCGUGAGUGAAGAAGGUUUUCGGAUCGUAAAACUCUGUUGUUAGGGAAGAACAAGUAUGGUAGUAACUGCCCGUACCUUGACGGUACCUGACCAGAAAGCCACGGCUAACUACGUGCCAGCAGCCGCGGUAAUACGUAGGUGGCAAGCGUUGUCCGGAAUUAUUGGGCGUAAAGCGCGCGCAGGCGGCCUUUUAAGUCUGAUGUGAAAGCCCACGGCUCAACCGUGGAGGGUCAUUGGAAACUGGAAAGGCUUGAGUGCAGAAGAGAAGAGCGGAAUUCCACGUGUAGCGGUGAAAUGCGUAGAGAUGUGGAGGAACACCAGUGGCGAAGGGCGGCUCUUUGGUCUGUAACUGACGCUGAGGCGCGAAAGCGUGGGGAGCGAACAGGAUUAGAUACCCUGGUAGUCCACGCCGUAAACGAUGAGUGCUAAGUGUUGGGGGGUCUCCGCCCCUCAGUGCUGCAGCUAACGCAUUAAGCACUCCGCCUGGGGAGUACGGCCGCAAGGCUGAAACUCAAAGGAAUUGACGGGGGCCCGCACAAGCGGUGGAGCAUGUGGUUUAAUUCGAUGCUACACGAAGAA